UUUACUGAGAAAAGGGAGCUGAAGUUUUAAUUCACUCUUAAAGAAAUUUAAGACAGCCCUGCAAAUGCACAUAUCUGAGCAACCUGGUCUACUGAAAAGCGUCAGGGAGUGCGUCACAGACCUAUAGUUACCCACAUAUGAAGAACAUGGAGGCCUCACAAACAUCCUGUUUUCUGCUGUCAGUUAUGGAACAGAAAUACUUGAUUUUCCUCUCCCUCUCAAUGUUGUUCCACUGUGGCUUCUCGCACCUGAUGGGUUUUGUCUUGGCAGUUGUCUCACCAAGAAAGACAUAAAGCUGGUACAAAACAACUCCAGGUGUAUCAUAUACCCUCUUUGUCAUUUUUUGUGAUGCUGAUAUAGGUUUAUGUGCAUUCUGUUUGAGAUUGGCCAUCUCUAUCUCUUUGCUGUGUAUCAAACCCCAGAAAUCUUAAGAACAGAAACCUUUCUUCAAAGGAAGGUACAUCAGACUGCUGAAUAUCUCUGUCCCAAAUCCAGUCCUGUAGUUUUGUUUAAUGACAAUAAAAUAUGUUCCUAAUGUUUAACAUUC